rnacentral:misc_RNA from 1 species
GGAUGAGAAAAGCUGGUCCACAAUUGCUAGAACCCAUAAUGAAGGUUGAAGUAGUUACACCAGAAGAACAUCUAGGGGAUGUGAUUGGUGACCUUAACUCAAGGAGAGGCCAGAUCAACAGCUUUGGAGACAAGCCUGGAGGUCUCAAGGUGGUGGAUUCUUUAGUUCCAUUAGCAGAGAUGUUCAAUUACGUUAGUACCUUGCGAGGAAUGACAAAGGGGCGUGCAUCGUAUGUUAUGCAGUUAGCCAAAUUUGACGUUGUCCCUCAACACAUUCAAAAC